AUGAUACGCCAGAGGCCAGUCCUGGCUCACAUCAUUUCACCUCAGUCUUCUCAGUUUUCUAUUCCUGCUGUUAUUUUUACUCUUCUCCCUGAGAACAGCAUUCAGAUUCUCUUCACCUUCUCCCCCUGUAACUCAAACCUGCAGUCCAGCACUCCCACUUCUCAAAUUUAUUGCUGUAGCCAUGACAAACAGCCAUUCUCCUGCAAACAAGUCAUUCUGUGUCUAUGGCAGAACAAGCAGCAGUUUUUGCUCAAUAAGAGGAAAUGUGACAUAUAUAAGACAUAUUCUCCACAGUCUCCUGAUGGAAGCAAACCAGAGUGAGUUCAUCAUGCCAGUGCUACAUAGAAAACACACAGAUGAAAGUUCAAGUUUUGCCCAGUGGAGAAUUCUGAAUUCGUCCUCUAUAAAGUUUUUAUAUGUAAGAAACAUUAUUAGAAGCAACUCAAAAUAUAGCUGAAUUUCAAACAUGUUUCAUGUUUAUUUCUUAUUAAUGUGAAAUGAAAGUAACGUUAUAUACUAACCUAGGAAGAAUAUAGAAUGACUUUUUACUUUAGCUCCAUAUUUCUACUGUUUCAGAUUUGUUGGCUGCCUUCCCCUCGGAUGUGUUCUUUGCUGUAAUCAAUGUUUUUUUUUUUCCAGACAGUCUGCAGAAACCUGCUUACUGCCCUCUGUGGGCUUUGAAGUUUUUGGUGGUUUUCUCUAUUUUUCCGGUAGCUAUUGGAAUUUCAAUAUCCAACUCUGACUUCUUUAACUGAGGGCUCUGCAAGGCACCUGGGGACUUGGAGGCAAACAUUUUACUUUAAUGUUGUGUGUAUGUGUGUGCUGUUUUCAGGAGCAUACAGGAAACUCAAGGCGUUACUUUCACACAUUAUGCAGAUUUGUAUCUGUGACAUUAAUUUGCUUUGUUUUCAAAGACAGUCACAAUUAAGCAGUGUGUUAUGAACACAGUCUCAGGCUUGUAUUACCAUGUUAAAUGUAUUAAAUGCUAGAAAGGUUUUUUUAUUACACUUCAAUCAUAAAAAAAAAACCAUGGAUCAAUGCCAUCCUUUUUUCAGCAUUUCUGUAGAUGAGUCCCUGUAUAACGUAAAAACAUAACUUUACUAUUAUUUAUUUUAGGGCAGAAAAACUGCAGUAGAUGCUCUAAAACCCAAAAUAAGUAUAGAAGAUCUGUAAUAAGGGUAGAGGUGUGUGUAUGAAGCACUGCAUCAGCAAGCUGCUGGAAGCAUCUGCCUCAGAGAGCAGCAGUAAGAGCAGAGUGCUCUUACUGCUGCUAUUAAAACAGAGAAGCACAGCAUACUAGGUUGGGAUCAAUAUUUAAUCUAAUGCCAACCCUUGGUUUCUCUCAGCAACCUCAACCAAUUCACACAGUUGUUUACAAAGAUUAGGAGAGGUUUCUGUUGGUCACUAAAGCCAGGCCUGGGGCACAUUCUGGCUUGACUGAACCAUGAAUGGCUUUCUUUAUAUCAGUAUGAAGACUAGAAUAUGAAGCUGAGAUCAUAUGUUUUUUCACAGAAGCAUACAUCUCACCACUGAAGAGACUAACAGUAGUUUGAUGUGGUCAUCUUAAAAAGGGCUGACCCCAAUAACCAACAGGCAAUAUACCAUGAAUAAAAGUGCAGCUGUGACUAUUCUUUGCA
ensembl:lncRNA